AGGUAAAUAUCAGAAAAAUAGCGGGAUUUUACAGACGUGGCGUAAAGUAGGUUAAAAGUUUAAAGAUGUUUCAGGCCCGUUACUGAGUCAGUCCUAGUUGAUACUUACCAAUCCGAAGAAAAUCGCGAUAGUUUAUAAAGUUAGUGGCAUCAAGUUAUGAGAAUGCAUGUUGCCAAUUAUUGAGGAUUCAGCGCGCGGACGUGUUGAUGGAUUAGGUGGAGGAGCUUCAGACUGAAUCACGACUCGAGAUGAGCCGAAGGUUGUUCUGGACAGAGGAAACCAUUCACAAAAGAUUUCACUACUGAGACCAUCUCCAUCGUGUGCUAACCAGGGCGUCAUGUCUUCAUGGCUGCAGCAGAUGUGAUGCAAUGAAAGACACUUGGAGGUUACCAACGUGUUCAAGAUUUAUAGACCAGAUUAUGAAUGGAUUAAUCAAGUAAACAGUUGU